AUUACGCUGGCGGCAGGCUUAACACAUGCAAGUCGAGCGGGGGAAGGUAGCUUGCUACNGGACCUAGCGGCGGACGGGUGAGUAAUGCUUAGGAAUCUGCCUAUUAGUGGGGGGACAACAUCUCGAAAGGGAUGCUAAUACCGCAUACGUCCUACGGGAGAAAGCAGGGGAUCUUCGGACCUUGCGCUAAUAGAUGAGCCUAAGUCGGAUUAGCUAGUUGGUGGGGUAAAGGCCUACCAAGGCGACGAUCUGUAGCGGGUCUGAGAGGAUGAUCCGCCACACUGGGACUGAGACACGGCCCAGACUCCUCGGGAGGCAGUAGUGGGGAAUAUUGGACAAUGGGGGGAACCCUGAUCCAGCCAUGCCGCGUGCGUGAAGAAGGCCUUAUGGUCGUAAAGUACUCUAAGCGAGGAGGAGGCUACUCUAGUUAAUACCUAGAGAUAGUGGACGUUACUCGCAGAACAAGCACCGGCUAACUCUGUGCCAGCAGCCCGGGU
rnacentral:rRNA from 1 species